rnacentral:rRNA from 1 species
CAGGUGGUCAGGUAGAGAAUACCAAGGCGCUUGAGAGAACUCGGGUGAAGGAACUAGGCAAAAUGGUGCCGUAACUUCGGGAGAAGGCACGCUGAUAUGUAGGUGAAGUCCCUCGCGGAUGGAGCUGAAAUCAGUCGAAGAUACCAGCUGGCUGCAACUGUUUAUUAAAAACACAGCACUGUGCAAACACGAAAGUGGACGUAUACGGUGUGACGCCUGCCCGGUGC